UACGUAGGGAGCAAGCGUUGUCCGGAAUCAUUGGGCGUAAAGCGCGCGUAGGCGGCCCGAUAAGUCCGCUGUGAAAGUCAACGGCUCAACUGUUGGAUGCCGGUGGAUACUGUCGGGCUAGAGUGCGGAAGAGGCGAGUGGAAUUCCUGGUGUAGCGGUGAAAUGCGCAGAUAUCAGGAGGAACACCAAUUGCGAAGGCAGCUCGCUGGGACGUUACUGACGCUGAGACGCGAAAGCGUGGGGAGCAAACAGG
rnacentral:rRNA from 1 species